UACGAAGGGGGCUAGCGUUGCUCGGAAUCACUGGGCGUAAAGGGUGCGUAGGCGGGUUUUAAGUCAGAGGUGAAAUCCUGGAGCUCAACUCCAGAACUGCCUUUGAUACUGAAAGUCUUGAGUAUGGGAGAGGUGAGUGGAACUGCGAGUGUAGAGGUGAAAAUUCGUAGAUAUUCGCAAGAACACCAGUGGCGAAGGCGGCUCACUGGCCCAUAACUGACGCUGAGGCACGAAAGCGUGGGGAGCAAACAGG
rnacentral:rRNA from 1 species